CCAAGACGUAGCUUAAACACCCAAAGCAUCUGGCCUACACCCAGAAGACUUCACUCAAUAUGAACGUUUUGA
rnacentral:tRNA from 1 species